rnacentral:misc_RNA from 1 species
UUUUUUUUUUUUGAUAAAAAUUAAGUUCUCUUUAACCUCAUAUGUACAAGUUGAUGAAGUCUCCCCUCAAUAAAUCUAAAGCAAAAUUUGGCAUGUGUGUGUAAAACAUCUUUUAAAUCAAAAGAUUGAUCCACAAAAAUAAGAAAUUCAGAAUAGACUAUCUUUAAGGCUUCCCCCAGUGAGCAAAUUGAAAAAUGAAUCCUCUUUGUUGCCACUGUCCUUUUCAGAUUCUGCAGAAUGAAGAUCUGUUACUGUUCUAUUUGCAGUUGAG